AGGACGAACGCUGGCGGCGUGCUUAACACAUGCAAGUCGAGCGGUAAGGCCUUUCGGGGUACACGAGCGGCGAACGGGUGAGUAACACGUGGGUGAUCUGCCCUGCACUUCGGGAUAAGCCUGGGAAACUGGGUCUAAUACCGGAUAUGACCUCCUAUCGCAUGGUGGGUGGUGGAAAGAUUUAUCGGUGCAGGAUGGGCCCGCGGCCUAUCAGCUUGUUGGUGGGGUAAUGGCCUACCAAGGCGACGAUCCGUAACUGGUCUGAGAGGAUGAUCAGUCACACUGGAACUGAGACACGGUCCAGACUCCUACGGGAGGCAGCAGUGGGGAAUAUUGGACAAUGGGCGAAAGCCUGAUCCAGCCAUGCCGCGUGUGUGAAGAAGGUCUUCGGGAUUGUAAAGCACUUUAAGUUGGGA
rnacentral:rRNA from 1 species